rfam:Picea glauca, whole genome shotgun sequence.
GGGUGGGAUCAUACUAGCGUUAAUGCACCGGAUCCCAUCAGAACUCCGCAGUUAAGCGCACUUGGGCUAGAGUAGAACUGGGAUGGGUGACCUCCCAGGAAGUCCUAGUGUUGCAUCCU